GUGGAAGUGAUUACAGCAAUUGUGUUUGACGGUGAUAUUAAUUUAAAAUAUUCUGCGUUUUCUCUCCUCUGUAUAUUUAUCUCAAUACUUUUUUACUGCUUCCCUGUGCUAAAUGUCCUCUUUCUAAAAUAUCUACGAUCAUUUCUAUUCAUCGACUGGAUGUUUAUUACAUGAUACAAUAGGUAAUGCAAUGAAAGGACUCAAAUAUAAUAGGAGAUUUCUUCUGAAAUGCGUUGGACAAAAUAAAACCAUGAUCAUAGAAAGAAAUUGUGAAUGUUUCUGAAUCUGGAAAAAAAAAAAAAGGGCAAAGGAAGAUCUUUGGUAGAUGAGAAAAAGUUAAGAAUAUUGAUAAGAGGCUGACCUUGAAGACUGGAGUGAUGUAGCCACAAGCCAAGGAAUACUGACAGCCACCAGAGGCUGGAAGAGGCAAGAAACUGAUUGCUUCUGAGAGCCUCCAAAGGCAAUGGGAUCUUGCUGGCACCUUGAUUUCAGCCAAGUCAAAUUCAUUUCAAACUUCUGGCUUCCAGAGCUCAAGCAGCAUUGUUGGGAAUAGGCCCACAUGGCAAGAAAGCAGGAAGGUAACAGGUAACAGUCCAAUGAUCGCAUUUCGAAGUGGUGCUUUCAUACGUCAAGUCUGAAGAUGACUCCUGCCCUGGUUAACAUCUCCAUUACAACCUUGUGAAAGAUCUUGAGUUAAAGGUACCUAACUAAAUGGUGCUAUUUACUGAUCCACAGAAUCUUCAAGAUAACAAAUGUGUGUUGUUUUAAUUCACAAUAUUUUGGGGUAAUUUGUUAUGAAACUAUAAUGAUUAAUAAUUACCUGAUAAUAUACGCAUUAAAAUAUAACUUACCGUGC
rnacentral:lncRNA from 1 species